UCGAGGGUCACGGCUAAUAUAGGAGGGUUGAUGAUCUAUAAUCAGCAGAUCGAUGGCCAUGAAGAUGGAGCCUGGAGCCACGUAGCAGCUUUCCGAUUUAAGCUAGCUGAUGUAGAUGGAUAACGUUGUCGCCGCUAAUCAAGGGCGCGGGGGGUGGCCAGGCGUGGCUGGGUGGUGACCUCGUGCAGAUCGCAAUCUGGAGGUAGGAAAAGGAGGUGCGUGUGUGCUGUGUUCAGGUACUGCAUGCCUGCAGCCAAUCCAUUUAUGAGAAUUGUAACUUUCUUUUCAAUUUCCUCACAGCAAUCUUAUUCUUUGCAAGGAAUUUGAACUCUAUUUCAACGUGAUCGACAUCCCAUUGUGAUGCACCGUCAGAUUGUUACCAUUUUUUUGGAGAAAGUUUGAUAUGAUUUUUCAUGGAAGGAUUUGCCUGUAUUAAAUGCCUUACUGAAUAUAGCAUCGGUUGCUUGAUUAGCAUUACUUCUUGAAGGACAAAACUAUUGAUUCUUUUUGGCUACAGAAAAAAGUUUUGGAUGCAGAGCUGGGUGGUUUCUUCAUAGAACUAAGGAGCCAGUAAAAAAACAUGAGAAUUCGUCACCUGUCUUAGCCAUCGCAACCUCCUGAACAAGGUUCCAAAGUUUGGCCGCAGCUAGCUUGAUAUGGAGACAUUUCCUGUUAGGAGUUAAACUUUGGUUUGGAGGCAUCGAGCUUUGGCUGUAACUAGCUUUCUUACUUGGUAUACCUCUGUCAGCAUUCAGGAGCUGGGUAGUUGUUGAGCGGGUUGUGUGAGAGGCGGUCGGCGAGCACGGGCUAGACGGGAAGGUGAUGCUUGCAAUGGCGACCAUGCCGGUGGGCAGGGCAAAGUCGAUUGUGUCCAUCAUGGUGUUUCCGAGGGGGAGCGAGGCAUCUGCCAUCGCGCAUCUGAAGAAGUCGAUGCUCGGGGCGAGGUUGACCACCGUGGCCGGCGUGAAAGCGGACGGACUUAAAGGCAUUGGAUGCUUGAUUAGCAUUACUUCUUGAAGGACAGAGAUUAUUGAUUCUUUUUGGCUGCAGCAAAAAGUUUUGGAUGCAGAGCUGGGUGGUUUCUUCAUAGUACUAAGGAGCCAGUGAAAAAACAUGAGAAUUCGUCACCUGUAUUAGCCAUCGCAACCUCCUGAACAAGGUUCCAAAGUUUGGCCGCAGUUAGCUUGAUUUGGAGACAUUUCCUAUUUCGGCAUAAAUGUUUUAUCAUACUAGGAUUUAAUUGGUGAUCCUGUUGCCUUUUGGUGACUAUGAAAUAUAUUGCAUUUUCAUGGAAGCAGGAGCCGGGUAGUUGUUGAGCGGGUUGUGGGAGAGGCGGUUGGCGAGCGCGGGCUAGACGGGAAGGUGAUGCUUGCGAUGGUGACCAUGCCGGUGUGCAGGGCAAGGUCGAUUGUGUCCAUCAUGGUGUUUCCGAGGGAGAGCGAGGCAUCUGCAUCGCGCAUCUGAAGAAGUCGAUGCUCGGGGCGAGGUUGACCACCAUGGCCGGCGUGAAAGCGGAUGGACUUAAAGGCCGGUGACAGGUUUGCCGUCGUCGCACCGUCUCUCAACUUGGUGGGGAGGCCUGCU